ACUGUUUUCGGGGCUUGUACAUACGAUCCUGGAAGUGACCAGAUUCAAUGAACCUCAGGCUCAAAUGCGCAAUCUUCUCUCCGACCCCAUUAAUUCUCUAUUAAUAUAUAGUUCUUCAUGGGACAGAGAAAGAUCAAAGUGAGAGAGGGUCGCCGCCAGCUCCUGCUGAUCCUUUCGGACUUUGUUCAGCUUCAACUUCAAUCUUUGAGCUAAACGGCAAUCAGUACUGGAAGAUAUUGGGUGAAACGUCCUACUCAGGAGGAGCACGUACAAGAUCAGGAUCGAGGAACAAGCUAAGCGUCCCCUAGCUAGCUAAGCAGCAACAUUUUGAUCUGCUCCUGUAGUUGAGAAGGUUGAUGGAAGUAUUGACAAUGAUCAUUAUGAUAAGCUACAGCUAGAUAUAUAGUUGUGGCAGAAACCUGGCCUUGGAAAUUAAGCUCGAUCGGUGACAUUAAUAUUGCUGUAGAUCGAUCUCGAUCAGUUGGGAACUCAACUCAAACUCUUCAUACGUUUCACUCUGAUCAAUUGGGAAUGAACCAUGUCACAGACCAUUACUGCCAUGGAAGGGUGAGAAAGUUAGGAUGUGAUGGCGCGCGCUGGCAAGAGGACAUGUGCCAUGCAUCGUGGCUGAGGAACAUAUGGCCUUUAACAAGGCUGUGGGAAAGAUCAUUCGAUGGCUUUAGCAAAUGUCCUCCAAUAUCGGCAAUAAUCAUGAAUAAAGUCGUAUUAUAAUACGCGGUAUCUUCUGGUACAUUACUAGGAUCAAUAAACUGCACCGGUGAUGUGCUUGUUGAAGAUCCAGAUCGAGUUCUCGUACUUAAUUACAGUCAGAAGAGUUCCCCUUUACAACUUCAAGUUGGUGAAGCUUUUGUGAUCAUGUAUGCAGUCGACCGUAAACAUGGUCUAAGGCCGGUCAAUCUUUCCCUUUGUUCUACUCUCCUGCCUUGAAUAAAUCUUAGUGGAAGGAGAACAAAGGGAGCAGGAUGGUGCAAGCUAGUGUUGUGUUAAUCGAUCUGUCCCAUCAUUUCUAGCACAAGAAUCUGCAGCUUGCUAAUUGCAGUAGUAGUACUAAUUUGUGAGUGUGUUUUCCUUUCCUUUCAAUGUACGUUGAGAUCAUAGACUUCCGGUUGAAACUUGAUGUAUGUCGUAUUGAGAAGUACAGUAUUAGGGCUGGAGAUUCUAACUGGUACAAAAAAAGAAACAUUUCAGUGAAUGAAAUUUCUAAUAUUCCUUAAUAAGGAUACUAUAAUCAAAGACAAUGAAUCCUCACAAGACCAGAUUAUGUCCAAGGGAUAACUUGUCUAUUUAUGGAAGCUUGACUCGUGAUUUGUGCA